rnacentral:rRNA from 1 species
AGCUCCAUUAGCGUAUAUUAAAGUUGUUGCAGUUAAAAAGCUCGUAGUUGGAUUUCUGGGUUCUUCGCUAGCUUUGGUCCGCAAGGGCUUCAGUGGGCUGUUUGAAUCCAUCCUCAGGGGGACCCAUGCUGGUAUUCAUUUAUCGGUGUGGGAACGCCUGUCGUUUACUGUGAACAAAUUAGAGUGUUCAAAGCAAGGUGUACUUGAAUACAUUAGCAUGGAAUAAUAAGAUAGGACUUUGGUGGUUCUUUCGAGAUAUUUUGUUGGUUUGCACGCCAAAGUAAUGAUUAAUAGGAGCAGUUGGGGGUAUUCGUAUUCAAUUGUCAGAGGUGAAAUUCUUGGAUUUAUAGAAGACGAACUACUGCGAAAGCAUUUACCAAGGAUGUUUUCAUUAAUCAAG